rnacentral:rRNA from 1 species
UACGAAGGGGGCUAGCGUUGCUCGGAAUUACUGGGCGUAAAGGGAGCGUAGGCGGACAUUUAAGUCAGAGGUGAAAUCCCGGAGCUUAACUUCGGAACUGCCUUUGAUACUGGGUGUUUUGAGUGUGAGAGAGGUAUGUGGAACUCCGAGUGUAGAGGUGAAAUUCGUAGAUAUUCGGAAGAACACCAGUGGCGAAGGCGACAUGCUGGCUCAUUACUGACGCUGAGGCUCGAAAGCGUGGGGAGCAAACAGG